rnacentral:rRNA from 1 species
CCUACGGGGUGCAGCAGUGAGGAAUAUUGGUCAAUGGGCGCGAGCCUGAACCAGCCACGUCGCGUGAAGGAUGACUGCCCUACGGGUUGUAAACUUCUUUUAUAAAGUAAUAAAGUGAGGCACGUGUGCCUUAUCGUAUGUACUUUAUGAAUAAGGAUCGGCUAACUCCGUGCCAGCAGCCGCGGUAAUACGGAGGAUACUAGCGUUAUCCGGAUUUAUUGGGUGUAAAGGGAGCGUAGAUGGGUUGUUAAGUCAGUUGUGAAAGUUUGCGGUUCAACCGUAAAAUUGCAAUUGAUACUGGCAGUCUUGAGUACAGGUGAGGUAGGCGGAAUUCGUGGUGUAGCGGUGAAAUGCUUAGAUAUCACGAAGAACUCCGAUUGCGAAGGCAGCUUACUAAACGGCCACUGACAGUGAUGCGCGAAAGUGUGGGUAUCAAACAGGAUUAGAUACCCUAGUAGUC